rnacentral:lncRNA from 1 species
CACCGAACCAUUCACAUUUGAAACAAAAAUGCAGAUGAAUCAGCACUGAUUCCUGUCUACUGGUAAUCAAGAAACAGAUGAGAGAAACUUACCACUUUCCAACCAUCUGGGUCCAGGAAAGAAGUUAUUUUGGUGUUGAUUCCUGGAAUUGGUCCUGGUUGCCUGGUGAUUUUUCCUCCUAGCUCUUUUGUAACCAAAUCAACAACAGCAGCACUUCUAUAAACAUCUUCAGUACUAAUAGCAACCUACAAAAACAUAUAACAGAUGCUAGUAAUUUAAUCCUUAACAGAAUCAGAUUAGAAAAAGAUAUGAAUAGAACCUGAGCAUAUGCAUUGCCUUUCGUGUACUCCGUCACACCAUAAUUGUAUGUCAACUCAAUAACUGUUGAUUCAAUUUCUUCAGCGUAACCCAUCAUGGCAACAGUAUACUGUAGAAAUCAUGUGACAAAAAAACAUACUAAGCAUGAAAAUAUGCAUAACUUCAAAUAGAAUGGGCACAGUUAAAUACAAAAACAUAUACCUUAGAUAUGCAUAGGUAUUCAUGUCAUACAUUGUAUACCUAAAUAAAGUAGCAUGAGCAUAGCUGACUUGAAGUAUAUAUACCUUUCAUGCUGCAUAGUUAUUCAUGUAUCCUUGUCAUACACAGCUAUGCACAGUCACAUAAAUAUCAUGAAUAUAGAUAAAUACAAAAUUACAUACCUUUGAUGCUACAUAUUCAUGUAUUCAUGUCAGACAUACAUAUACAUAUAUAUAUAUAUACACACAUAUAUAUAUAUAUACACACAUAUAUAUAUACACAUAUAUAUAUAUACACACACAUAUAUAUAUAUAUAUAUAUAUAUACAUAUAUAUAUAUAUAAAGAUUUGAUAUUAAUAAUUUACCAAAAACCAGGUUCUAACAAACGUGACAUGUAAGACCAAAAAGAAAACUCAACAAUAGUUAUGUGCAGCAGGAAUCAAUACACAUGUUAUGAACUGCUGCUGGAUGAUGUGUGUGUAGAGACAAAUAUAUUUAUGCAUGUAAGUGUCAAACUAUGUUCACAUAAAUACAUGCAUGCUUGCAACUAAGACUCUGGAAAAGAUUAUGACUUAUGUGACAUCAUUAGACUUAUCAUUAAAUCCAUAACCAUCAGAUUGGUGCUAGAAAAUGUAACCUUGUAGUCAGGAAUGUCUAUUGACCUCAAUAACUUCAUCCCACAAGCCUGCAUUAAAUGAAAAUUACAGAAAAGUGAAAAAGACAGUGACGAGAAUAAAAGGAAAAUCUCAUAUAUUUGCUCAUAGAAUACUAGCAAGGAAACAAAUUGAUAUUCUAUAGCUCAUCUCAGAUCAUAACCCUCUAAAAAUCAAGGUUAUUAUAUAGUCCAAUAAUAAAACUGGAGACUUUUUGGUAUGACUAACUUCUAAAAAAUAAAACAAAACAAAAUUUAAAACUUGUAUAGACAGGUAGCCUCAAAGUAUUAAAAAAAGAAGAAAAUUUCCAUCUAUGCUAGCAUAAUGUAGGAUAUGCAUAUACUAUGGUAAAAGAAUAAGUUCCUUGGUGCUACAACUAAACCUUCUCCUACAAUUUAUAAAGACAAUUAAAGAUACUUUUAAACAUAUAAUUAUGAAAAUGCAAGUAUUUCAACCAUGCUAUUCACGAAAAAGAUCAAGAUUAACUUAGAAAGGACAUUCUUGGAUUUAAACAAUUAGUAAACCAAAUGGUAUUGGAAAAUACCUUCUCGUAAAACUUGAUGGACCUUUCCAAGUCACCUACGCGAAGCAUAAUUUGGCAAAGAGGCUCAGGUGUGGGGCCUCUUUGAAUAAGCUCAAAUGUAUAACCAUCAGGGUCUUGAACAAAAGCUAGAACUGUUGUCCCCC